UACCAGCACCCCGAGUGGUCGGGACGAUUAUUGGGCCUAAAGCAUCCGUAGCCGGCCUUACAAGUCCUCCGUUAAAUCAGCUGCUUAACAGAUGGGCUGCGGAGGAUACUAUAAGACUAGGAGGCAGGAGAGGCAAGCGGUACUCAGUGGGUAGGGGUAAAAUCCGUUGAUCCAUUGAAGACCACCAGUGGCGAAGGCGGCUUGCCAGAAUGCGCUCGACGGUGAGGGAUGAAAGCUGGGGGAGCAAACCGG
rnacentral:rRNA from 1 species